CCACAGAGCAAACUUUACACACCUCAUCUUUCAGCUACAAUCUUUGUUGCAGGGAUCUUCUGCCAAACAAGGCUGAGAGAAGAUUUCUUACAGCUGUCAUGUUGAUGCUGUUUCAGUCUUUGGGCAAACACACUCAUAUAUUAGGGCUGAUAUCAGGGCUGCACAAGUUCUUUGUGUUUGUGAUCAUGAAUAACAGAAGUGUGCCUGUUGAAGAUCAUGUUUCUGCAUUAUUAUAUGUCCUGUUAUUGUUCUGUGUUAUAUUCAGCUUUCAGCAUCCUUUCCCAGCCCCUGUUACACCAUCCAUACAAAGCCAAUCUGACUGUGAGCCAAUGUGUUUGUUUGUGUUGGAUCAAUAGAUUUGACAGACUUGGUUCAUCCAGAGGGAAACAGUCCAAAUUCAGAUCUAAUGAAAUGAUGGAGGCUGUUUCCUACCACGGUGCUGAUGUGUGACUAACAAGGCUCAUGGUCUCCAGCAGACAAGCGCCUGGAAUGAGGCCCAGUGAAAGAUAUGAAGCAGAAAUGGUGUCAUUAGGAGAAGAAGAGGAGAACAAGUCCGGCGAGGAGGCAGCAGCUCUUAAAGAUGAAACAGCAGCUCAGCCCUGAGCUCAGAGAGCUGCACAUGAAAAAGCUCCUCAAGCAGAUCCUGUCAGAGGUUUGUCAUCAACAGGAGGAACUGUUCACAUCAUAGGAUGAAGAUGCUGUCAGCUGGAUGAAGAAGGUUAUUUAAUGCAAACGUUCACACUGAAGUCAAAUUGUUGUCGUGUUGAACAGAUUCAUGUACUGAUCGUCUCCAGAAGGUUAGAAGAGCUUCAAUGAAUCAUUAGAAACAACUUACAGCUGCACAGCUGUGUCAAACACAUCUGUGUGUCAUUGUGGGAUUGUUGUGUUUCUACAUGUGACACACGUCUAAAACAUGCACACAAUCUGAACACAAACAGGGACUCAUGUGUUCCCACAGCCAGAUGCUGAGAGCCAUUUCCUUGUAGUCCUGUGUCUACAUACAUGAACCAUUAGAUGUUAUUGGAAUGAUUGUCAGCUCUGAUAGUUUCAUGUGUGUUUAGCUGGACGCUGUUUGAUCCUCGACAUGUUUAAAGGUGUCCAGUCCUGAGACACUGGGGCUGGAAACAGCUGUGAUGUCAUUGGACUGUCACACAGACAGAAGUGCAUGAAGUGAGCAGCCGAGGAGCCGCUGAUGUUUUGGAUUCAACAGCAUUUGAAAGGUCGACACAGACACGUUUGCACACAGAAAGCUGAAUCUGUCAUAUGCCACAGUGAACUCACUGUUCAGUGUUUUUCAGGAAGCUUCUUAACUGCCUCUGCUGCCAAACAAGCAGCUGAUGUCCUUGAGAAGAAGCUGAAGAAGUCUCCAACAACAAAUACAGGAAGUGGACUUUCAAAUACUAGAUUCACUUUAGACUCACA